rnacentral:rRNA from 1 species
GAUGAACGCUGGCGGCGUGCCUAAUACAUGCAAGUCGAGCGAACGGACGAGAAGCUUGCUUCUCUGAUGUUAGCGGCGGACGGGUGAGUAACACGUGGAUAACCUACCUAUAUGACUGGGAUAACUUCGGGAAACCGGAGCUAAUACCGGAUAAUAUUUUGAACCGCAUGGUUCAAAAGUGAAAGACGGUCUUGCUGUCACUUAUAGAUGGAUCCGCGCUGCAUUAGCUAGUUGGUAAGGUAACGGCUUACCAAGGCAACGAUGCAUAGCCGACCUGAGAGGGUGAUCGGCCACACUGGAACUGAGACACGGUCCAGACUCCUACGGGAGGCAGCAGUAGGGAAUCUUCCGCAAUGGGCGAAAGCCUGACGGAGCAACGCCGCGUGAGUGAUGAAGGUCUUCGGAUCGUAAAACUCUGUUAUUAGGGAAGAACAUAUGUGUAAGUAACUGUGCACAUCUUGACGGUACCUAAUCAGAAAGCCACGGCUAACUACGUGCCAGCAGCCGCGGUAAUACGUAGGUGGCAAGCGUUAUCCGGAAUUAUUGGGCGUAAAGCGCGCGUAGGCGGUUUUUUAAGUCUGAUGUGAAAGCCCACGGCUCAACCGUGGAGGGUCAUUGGAAACUGGAAAACUUGAGUGCAGAAGAGGAAAGUGGAAUUCCAUGUGUAGCGGUGAAAUGCGCAGAGAUAUGGAGGAACACCAGUGGCGAAGGCGACUUUCUGGUCUGUAACUGACGCUGAUGUGCGAAAGCGUGGGGAUCAAACAGG